rnacentral:rRNA from 1 species
UACGUAGGGGGCUAGCGUUGUCCGGAAUCAUUGGGCGUAAAGAGCGUGUAGGCGGUCCGGUAAGUCCGCUGUGAAAGUCGGGGGCUCAACCCUCGAAUGCCGGUGGAUACUGUCGGGCUAGAGUACGGAAGAGGCGAGUGGAAUUCCUGGUGUAGCGGUGAAAUGCGCAGAUAUCAGGAGGAACACCAAUAGCGAAGGCAGCUCGCUGGGACGGUACUGACGCUGAGGCGCGAAAGCGUGGGGAGCGAACAGG